UUUUAUCCUGGGUAAUCUAAUCGUGGGUGAUCUUAUAAUGGGUGAUUUUAUCGUGGGUGAUCUUAUCGUGGGUGAUUUAUCGUGGGUCAUCUUAUCGUGGGUGAUUUUAUCGUGGGUCAACUUAUCGUGGGUGUUCUUAUAGUGGGUGAUGUUAUCGUGGGUGAUUUUAUUGUGGGCAAUCUUAUUGUGGGUCGUGAUUGAUCUUAUAGUGGG
rnacentral:lncRNA from 1 species